UAGAGUUUGAUCAUGGCUCAGGACGAACGCUGGCGGCGUGCUUAACACAUGCAAGUCGAACGAUGAAGCACUGCUUGCAGUGUGGAUUAGUGGCGAACGGGUGAGUAACACGUGGGUGAUCUGCCCCGCACUUCGGGAUAAGCCUGGGAAACUGGGUCUAAUACCGGAUACGACCCCCUGGUAGGUCAGGGGGUGGAAAGAUUUUAUCGGUGUGGGAUGAGCCUGCGGCCUAUCAGCUUGUUGGUGGGGUAAUGGCCUACCAAGGCGUCGACGGGUAGCCGGCCUGAGAGGGUGAUCGGCCACAUUGGGACUGAGACACGGCCCAGACUCCUACGGGACGCAGCA
rnacentral:rRNA from 1 species